GGGCAGGAAUGGCAAACAGGCAAGUGCGAGCAAGAUUCUACUGUCAUGGGCUAGAGGUCCCUUCGGGUCGGUGGCGACACCCCCAAGGCAGCCCCUCCAGGCAUCGAACCAGUGAAUCCCCUGUGGAGUUCUCGUUUCCUCCUGAUGCAGACUCACGCGGGCUAUCGAUCGGCAUGACAGAUGGUGGUGUAUGCCCUUCGCUCAGCAAGGCGGUGUGGUCUCCACACCGAUGGC
rnacentral:rRNA from 1 species